CACAGGGAGCUUGCUCCUGGGUGACGAGCGGCGGACGGGUGAGUAAUGUCUGGGAAACUGCCUGAUGGAGGGGGAUAACUACUGGAAACGGUAGCUAAUACCGCAUAACGUCUACGGACCAAAGUGGGGGACCUUCGGGCCUCAUGCCAUCAGAUGUGCCCAGAUGGGAUUAGCUAGUAGGUGGGGUAAUGGCUCACCUAGGCGACGAUCCCUAGCUGGUCUGAGAGGAUGACCAGCCACACUGGAACUGAGACACGGUCCAGACUCCUACGGGAGGCAGCAGUGGGGAAUAUUGCACAAUGGGCGCAAGCCUGAUGCAGCCAUGCCGCGUGUGUGAAGAAGGCCUUCGGGUUGUAAAGCACUUUCAGCGAGGAGGAAGGGUACAGUGUUAAUAGCACAUUGCAUUGACGUUACUCGCAGAAGAAGCACCGGCUAACUCCGUGCCAGCAGCCGCGGUAAUACGGAGGGUGCAAGCGUUAAUCGGAAUUACUGGGCGUAAAGCGCACGCAGGCGGUUUGUUAAGUCAGAUGUGAAAUCCCCGCGCUUAACGUGGGAACUGCAUUU
rnacentral:rRNA from 1 species